CAUCGGUCUUUAUUCAAACAAAAAAGUUCAAUUCAUUCCUAGCACAAAGACUUACUCAAACAUGAUUCUAAAGCAUAAUUUCUUCCAACUCUCUCCUUUCAACAACCAUUAAUCGAUUUGCAAUUCAAAACUUCAGAGUAUUCUAGAGAACGACAGGCAAACCAACAGGCAUUUUCUUCAGUACUAGCUCUCAAGGAGGUGGCGAAGAGACUACCACGUUAGUUCCUUCUUUGAAUUCAAUGUGCGAUUUAAAAUAAGCUAUAUAUUCUUAUAUAUGAAUACAGAUGAUUUUAGUAAAAUUAAAUGGCUAUUGAUCUGCAGAUAUGAAACCCAUCUUAAGAUAAAAAUUAUUGAUAAAAAUUUUUAUAUCAACAAACUUCUUGCUUCAAUGAGUUUUAUAAAAUUAAAUGUUUAUUGAUCUGCAGAUAUGAAACACAUUUUAAGAGAAAAAUUGUUCAUAAAAUUUUUUAUAUCUACAAACUUCUUGCUUGAUCUUCUUGAACUGAAUUUUAAUUUCUGAUAUGUUCUUUCAUUUUGUCUGAAUCUCAAAAUCUCUAACAAAAGAAAUUUGAAUAAUAAUUUUAAGUAUAAUUAUUAUAAUAAAUAAAUAAAUAUGAAACAUAGAGAUGUAUAUGUACAAGAAAUGUUUAUAAUUUUUUUUUCUUUCUAGAUUAAUAUUUAAAUUUAAAAAAAAAUAGGGGAAGUGGUUAUAAUAAUUAUAUGAGAUGGACUACAACAGUAAAAGGGAUACAUGUCUUAAAGAAAAUAUACAUUGUUCUACACAAUUACAAAUGGAGUGGUGUAGGCUCCUGCUUUUUAGGCUUUUAGCAGUGGUGUAGACUACUAUUUUUAUUUUUCAGGCUUUUAGCAAAGAUUGUUUCUCCUUUUUUUAUUUUAUAUAUAUCUUAAAAAAAUUUUAAAUUGAAUUUUAAUUUCUGAUAUAUCCAUUCAUUUUGCCUGAAUCUCAAAAUCUCUAACGAAAAACAAUAUGAAUAAUAAUUUAUAAUUAUAAUUAUUAUAAUUAAUAAAUAAAUAAAUAUGAAACAUAGAGAUGUAUAUGUACAAGAAGUGUUUAUAAUUUUUUUUCUUUUUGAAUUAAUAUUUAAAUUUAAAAUUAAAAAAAGGGAAGAUAGAGGAAGUGGUUAUAAUAAUUAUAUGAGAUAGAAUACAUCAGUAAAAGGAAGACGUGUCAUAAAGAAAAUAUAUAUUGCUUUACACAAUAACAAAUGGAGUGGUGUAGGCUCCUGCCUGCUUUCAUUUUUAGGCUUUUAGCAAUGGUGUAGGCUACUGUUAUCAUUUUUAGGCUUUUAGCAAGACUGUUCUUUCUUUUUUUUAUUUUAUAUAUAAUUUUAUUAUUAUUAUUAUUUUAUUAUAAGGGGAUCCAAUAUUUACCUACCCAUUAUUUUUUUAUCACGUGGUUGAAUAUUUAACACAUAAUGAAAUAUCUUCUAUGGUGAGAAGAGAAAAGAAAAAUGAAGAGUUAUUUAAAGGUUGGAUGAAAAUACAUCGAUGAUGAUCCAGAAGAUCCAAGCGUGAUAGAUGCAUUUGUUUUUAUCUAAUUUUAUACGGUAUGUAAAUAUAUGUAAUUAGUAUUCCCACAUAUAGAAAUGUUAAACUACGUAAGUAUCUCACUUCAACAUUCAGCAGUAUGAUAUUCACAUGAAUAUAUUAUGAACAAAUUUGGCAGCUAAAAUAUGUUCGAAUUACUAAUUUUUCUCAUUGAAAUAUUAAUUUUGUUUGUUUAAUAUGCAACACAUUAAAUUUAGGUCCAUUAUAAAUACCUAUAAUGCUCCCAACUACAGCAUUAGCUGAAAGCAUGUCUACAAGCACGGAGCAGUAUUAUGCAUAUAGAUUCAGCAACUCCUAAAUGUUAGUUCCUAAUUUGUUAACAUUCAACUACUCUUGAUGUUCAGUUUCUUCAUACUGUCAAUUUGCUUAAUAAACAGUGCAUUUGUUUUGUGAACAAAAUGCUAUUUAACCAUGUAAUGUUGUAAAGUAUGCUAAUAGUUCAAUACAAAACAGUCAUCUAAUGUUGUGAAGUAUGGUAAUAGUCCAAUACAAAACAGUCAAGCAGAGCUGAUACCUGCACUUUGAUAUAUAGUGUCCUUAAUUCAAAGACGAAAUUAUCAUUUUUACAUCUUAUUGUUUCAAAUCAAAAUGUACAAGGGAAGUGACCACAAUGUUUUAUGGCUAACAUGUAUUCGUAUGUAUGAAAGUAAUUCCCAAUUGAAGUUUUAGUAUUGAAGGGGAUUUUCACCUUGCUUAAGAAAUCUUGGUGAAAUGGUAAAUCAAAUAAAAGUAAAUGACGAGACUCGACUGAUAACGUAUUAUAAAAUAAAGCAUGUGUCGUAAAAUAAGAUAAUAACAAAUGUAUAAAAUAUUAAACGUUGAGCCCGUGCUUAGCACGGACAACGGUCAUCUAGUAUAUAUAUAUUCAAUUCAACAUGUAAUAUUUUAUUAUUGCAAAUAAAUGGAACCCCUCAAAUCAGUGGUCCAAGGUAAGUGCCUUACACAUAAAGCCUCCCCUUAAUAUGGACACGUUGAAUCUUCAUGAGUUUAGAAAAAUAACAAAAAUAUUUGGAUAUGUAUUUGACGAAAUAAUCUUUUGGCGGAAGCGUGGAAAAUCUAGUAAAAAUGGAGAUUGAUUUCUACAUAUUUUGAAGUCUAUGCAAUUGCCAAUUAGCAAAAUUAUUCGGAAAGAAAUGUGGAUGAGAUUUACUUGGACUAUAAUUUUAUAAUUGACAAUAGUGAUAUACACCAAGUCAAGCAACCAUCAAGAAUAAUGAAAGAACAACUUGCACUUGAAAAUUCCUUUGAUGACAAUUUUAAUGAAGG
rnacentral:lncRNA from 1 species